UAGAUCGGAGUGGGAGACCCUGUCGGAAUGGACAUGGCCCACAUGCUUGCAUCCGGAAUGGGCGGAAUCCGCACUGCCGGAGACCUCGUUGCCCGCAUGG
rfam:Candidatus Methanomethylophilus alvus Mx1201, complete genome.